CUCCACAACAAGAAGAAAUCAGAAGGAAAAAUGGUUAAUUUCUCAGCCAUGUUCAGUUGCUUUGUUCCUUCAUCGUCUUCAUCUUCUAGGGUUUCAGAUGAUGCAGAAGUAUCCAACAUCAAAGGAUCUAAUGUACAGAAACCCAAAAGCAAAUCAAAGUCAUCUUCAAGUGCUCCUAUUGUAGUUUCUUACUUCCCCAUCAACUCAUAUAUGUCAAGGUUAUA
rnacentral:lncRNA from 1 species